UGUUUUUUUUUUUUUAAUUCUGCUAGUUUGUUUGGUUUCUGAGAAGUCUAUAUGAAUCAUAUUAUUCUUUCUAGAUAAGCAUGGUGCCUAUACAUACCCUCUCCUUAAAUCCUCACCUGCACUUCUUUGAGUGUAAUGAAAUAAGUCUGGAACUGCAACCAAACAGUAGAGGAUAAUUAUGGGGCUCAGUGAUAUUGUGGACUCCAAGGAACUCAAGCCAUGCUCAUCUUCCCUUACAUCAUCUUUCCAUUUCAAAGAAUCCAUAGAGUAAUGUUAUUCCUCAACAAUGCCUUGAAGUCCCCUUAAUUUUUGUAAGAAAAAGUUGCAAUUAUAAAUUUUAAAGUAUA